GGGCCCUACGGGGGGCAGCAGUGGGGAAUAUUGCACAAUGGGCGAAAGCCUGAUGCAGCAACGCCGCGUGAAGGAAGAAGGGUUUCGGCUCGUAAACUUCUAUCAACAGGGACGAAAGAAAUGACGGUACCUGAAUAAGAAGCCCCGGCUAACUACGGGCCAGCAGCCGCGGUAAUACGUAGGGGGCAAGCGUUAUCCGGAAUUACUGGGUGUAAAGGGUGAGUAGGCGGCAUGGGAAGCCAGAUGUGAAAGGCUUGGGCUUAACCCGGGGAUGGCAUUUGGAA
rnacentral:rRNA from 1 species